rnacentral:rRNA from 1 species
CCUACGGGAGGCAGCAGUGGGGAAUAUUGGACAAUGGGGGAAACCCUGAUCCAGCGACGCCGCGUGUGUGAAGAAGGCCUGCGGGUUGUAAAGCACUUUUAGUGGGGAUGAAAAGCUCAGGGCUAACACCUCUGG